CUGAAAACAAAGUCAUUAACACCCAAAAAUCAAAGUAUCCGCACAAGCAACCAAAGACUAGGAACGAAACAAAAACGGAAAAAACAAAAAACAAGAUAAACAAAAACAAAAACUAAACCAACGGUGGGUUGCCUCCCACCAAGCGCUAGUUUUAGAGUCGCCAGCCCGACGUAGAGGAUCCCUUAACCAAAAUCGCUAUGAAACGUCAGCUGAAUUAGUCCUCGUGAAAGCACA
rnacentral:lncRNA from 1 species